UGAUGCAUUGAACACCCUGUUGUGAUGACGCAAGAGUUGCAACUACGGUAGCUGAGAGGCCAUUCUUUGUGUUCUUUUUUAAAUGUUUCUGAAGCCUGAUGAAAUCAUUAUAAAUGUGUGUUUAAUACUGUAAAAUACCCUCGAUGUUACAGUCACUGACCUUGCCGUCCAGAAUGAAAGACAACAUUCCAACUUGAACUUAUUGAGCGAGCUGUCUCUUUACUAUCGCGUGGUUUUAUACAUCUUGCCGCUGAUUGGGCUGACAUUUCUGACACUCCCACCAAACAAGAGAAAACGCUUCUAAAACCUGUUGCAUUCCGUUGCACACCGUUUCAAGGAAACAUGUCGUUCAACCCGGAAACCGUAGCAAAACGUUGCGCACCGGUGUGAGAUUGAACGUGCCCCAGGUGUGAAUUUUCUCAACGCGUGUAAGCAGCCAUGACACAGGAAACCGAAACAGUGUUCCAAUAUAAAGUGAGGGUCCUUGACAGCGGCCGAACCCGCAUACUACACGAUAUAAUGAUUCCCCACCUCGGGAGCUAUAGGGAACGAAUUGAGACACAGCCCUGGAUGUAAUCACGUCUGUGCUGAUCACGUGCCUGUACACAAACCCGCCGCAGCUCACUUGCGAAAGAUUAUCCUGUUAUUUAUUACACGUAUAGUAAACGUUUUUAAUGUUAUCAUGAAUCAAUGUUAUAGUUUUGUAUGUCACAUUAUUUUUUGAGAAGAGUCAUGACUCAACGCGGACCUUACACGCUGUUAAUUUGUGUGUGCAUAUGGCCAAGGUACAGUGCGCUCUUUUGCACUCUAUGACCAGCCAUCAUUAAAUCGAAAUACAGUAAAAAAAUGAGCGCGAAACCCUGACACUUUACAGAAAGGCACGGAUAUCCCCGCCCGAAGAAAAAAAGAACACAGGACAAUGGUUGCAAGUUAAACAGCUGAACAUUUCACCAUCUGCAAAGAACAUUUCACCAUCGACAUAUCAACAUAAACGGUUCUCUUUUUCGUGUUUGACUGCGUUUGGUACAGGUCACAACAACAACGGCAGAUGCAGAGACCACGCUUUCCCUUGCUUCCACUCCACGGCUGAUCAUGCUUGAGGAUCCAGAUCUACAAAACAAAAAAUGGAUGCUGCCGAUUGAAGGCUAAGUCCGCUUUCCUGCGAUUGACCUACCAUUUCUUCAGCUUUUGCUGUUCACUUUGGUUGCUACUACGUGCUCAACAUCGAGUACCAAGUGGAACCAGGCACUACUUUGGAGUUUAUUCAGAGAUUUAUUGUGAGGAUCAGCCCCGACAACAGCAAGUGCUCCUCUAAGUUCCAGGUGAGCAAAAGAAGUGGGAAGAUGGUGCAAAGGAAGAACUCUGGCCUGAACCAUCAUGUAUAUAUCCACCUUUAUUAAGGACUUUAUGAAUUAAGCAAAACUAUUAAGCUACUAAAGCAAAUACAUUCUACUCAACUCACCAGAGGUUUGUGAAGUUCUUUUUUAUCUUAAAGGUUUCUUUUAGUUAAUUUGUCCAUGCACUGAUUUAUAAUAUUGUAAUAUGAAACUCCAGUGUAUACAUGUUACUACUGUUGCUUCUAAAAGCAAAAUAAGUCUACGCAGGAGAGGUUUUGUUACGUUUUUUUUAUUAUUCUUAUAGACGGUUUCAUCGGAUGCACGUGAUACACGUCUGGAUCCGAACCUUACUUCCGGUUUUGCUUUUUUAAUGGUCUGACUAGUUGCUAAACUGAUCUCUUGAACAAAUGCCUCGUCGAAAAUAACAAAUGUUUUGGUUUCCGAGCUAAUCUAUGUGUUGUUGUUUUUUUGCUUGUUAUAUAAAUAAAAUGCGUUUAAAGAACUUUGUUGUUUUUUAUUUUUAGCGGAGUUUAUCGGAAGUUCAUGCGGACCGCGACAGCCGUUUGUUUAUGUUGUUACUGCUGAAACCGUCUAUAGUUAUAACUGAAUUUGUACUAAGAUUAUUUGAUAAUACUGUGAAAUGAAACGGUGAGUAAAUGUUACAUUGGCUUUGAAAAAGCUGUUGCUGCAAGAAAUUACAAUUUACUCAGAAUAAUAUUUUGAAUGUAUGAGUUUUUGACAUUGCUUAUGACUGCAUUUGAAUGUAUUGUUCAUGAAUUGAUGCUGUGAUAUGUGUGUGUAAAUGUUUUGUGUGUUACAGGAUAAAAGAUUUGCUAAAAGUAUUUUGUAUUUGAACAUUGUUAUUAUGACUGAGUUAGUGCAUGACUUGAUUUAAAAUUCUGUAAUAUGAUAUCUAUGAGUAAAUGUUAUUGCCGGUUUGAGAAAAACAGUUUGUGAUGCAAGCUGAAAGUUCAAUGUGCAAAAAUAUGAAAAUCUGAUUUCAUGUAUUUGAAAAACUAAAAGAAAUUUUAAAAACAUGUUGUCAUUGCUUAUUUUUGUUUUUACUUAAAGC